UACGAAGGAUGCAAGCGUUAUCCGGAAUUAUUUGGGCGUAAAGGGUCCUGAGGUGGCUAGCCAAGUCUAUUUGUGAAAUAUCAGGGCUUAACCCUGAACAUGCGGUGGAAACUAGAAAGCUUGAGUUACAGUAGGGGCGGAGGGAAUUUUCCGGUGGAGCGGUGAAAUGCAUAGAUAUCGGGAAGAACACCAACGGCGAAAGCACUCCGCUGGGCUGAUACUGACACUGACAGACGAAAGCUAGGGUAGCGAAAGGG
rnacentral:rRNA from 1 species